rnacentral:lncRNA from 1 species
CCACUACGCAAAAGGCCAUGGGGCACUCAAGGGUGUGAGCUCGGUGGUGGGCUGUCUCUAGAUGUUGGCAUAUCUCUGGCAUCAAUCACACUUUCUAACAUAUUCAAUCGAAUCAUGAUGUAUUGUCGACCAGUAAUAUCCUUGGCGGAGCAACUUGUGGGAUAAAGAUCUAGCCCCCAAAUGGUUUUCGCAGAUCCCUUCAUGUACCUCCCACAAGGCGUAGUCAGCUUCUGAAGGCCG